CUCCUUUGUCUCUUCCUACCUUAAGGAUGAGGAAAGAACUUUGAAUGAUUUGUGGCAGGUACAUUCCCUUUUAAUGCUGCUCUUAAUGAAGCUGUUUGUUGGGGAAAGCUUCCCUAGCCCUCCAGAUGGAGUGAAUAAGUGCCCAGCAUGGCCGGAUGGGGACAUUGCUCUUAAAAUGCAGCAAAAUCUGACUCUUGUGUUGAAGUCUUCCAUCUGCGGUUGCCUUUUCCACGACUCUGGAUAGAGAACCAGAGAUGUUCCUUCUCUAGCUUAGUGCUUGCUUUGCCUACAGGAUUCACCACUGGUGGCUAAUGUGGAAGCAAGAAUAUAGAAAAAAGCCAUCAACAUCAACAGCUUCAACAAAGCAACAUGUGAAUGCAGCCUGAGCUUCAGGAGAUGGCGCUCUAUAGGUAUUUUGGGCACAUAUCUUUCUCAGCGGAGCUACCAUGCUCAGGACAUACAUGGUACAUAGGACAGAAACUGUUUUUGCUCUCCUUGUGGAAAGAUGUUGAGUCAUCAUGAGAUCUAUUGUAGGAGUGCCAGAGCCAGAGAUACCAAUUCUGCAGGAAGAGCAGUGAAGCUGAGACUUAAAGACCAAGCCCUGAAGAGCACCUUGUUUGUUUAUGUUCAUUGCGCUCAUUCUCCUUCAAGGCUAUAGAAAACUUAUUUCUGGAAUUCAGCCAAUGGUAUGAUACAUGUUACAGAUCCCAUUCUUAGCUGCAAAGCUUCUGCUGCAUGUGGCUUAAGGAGUGUUGGAGUAGAAAUAUUAUCAAGAAGGCAUCCCUCACAGUGAUUUCAAUGGUUCCUGUAGUCCUGGGAUAAUAUACAUAAACCUGAAAAAAAUGCUGGAUGCGAGAGACAAAGCAGCUUUGGAAGACAGUUCUUAUUCAUUGGGCAGGUUGUACAACAGUGGCAAUCGGCUUCAUUCUCAAGACAAAAGGUUUAAAUAGACCUUUCUCCAAAUAUAUUAUCAGUAUAGAAGACAAGAUGUUGGAUCUAAUUCAGUUGUCAUUCAUUUUUCUCCCAGUUGAAAUAACUUUUGGACAUUUAGUGUGAGAACAGUUUCUAAAAAUAGGUAAGGAGUUACAGGAGUGAUGAGAAAGACGGACGCGUCCUUGGGAAAAGGUUGGGUGGCCACAGUAUUCUUGGCUCCUCUGUGCCUUGGAAUACUUUGUCUGGCUUUUGCUGAGUUUUAAGUGAAAAUGGAAUUCUCUUGAAUUAUUCAUUAUGUUUUCUUUGGGUCACCUUUCAGUAUAUAUUAUGUCAGCAAAAUAAGCAAGUACAAGGAGUCAUAGCUUUGAUUUUGAUGUGUAUAUGUGUGAAAUGCACCAACUCAGGAGUGCUAUGAUAACCAUAUGUAUUGCUGUGUGUAUAUCACACAGAGACCAUGAACAGAAAAAUGCAAUCAAUCAUGCUGGUGGUUUCUUCCCAGCCCUCUUCUCAUGUGCCCUCAUCAGAAAUCCAUUGAUAUGCACACGUAUAAACAAAAAUGGUAUAUUUCCCAUGCUUUUCUGCUGCUUUUUUUUCUGAUCAUUCUGUAACAUAAGGGAUAACACUUGCCUCUCUUUGUUUUAAAUGGCAAUAAUCCACUUGCUAAGUGGAAAAAC
ensembl:lncRNA